GAUUAAGUUAUUAAGGGCGCACGGUGGAUGCCUUGGCACUAGAAGCCGAUGAAGGACGUUACUAACGACGAUAUGCUUUGGGGAGCUGUAAGUAAGCUUUGAUCCAGAGAUUUCCGAAUGGGGAAACCCAGCAUGAGUUAUGUCAUGUUAUCGAUAUGUGAAUACAUAGCAUAUCAGAAGGCACACCCGGAGAACUGAAACAUCUUAGUACCCGGAGGAAGAGAAAGAAAAUUCGAUUCCCUUAGUAGCGGCGAGCGAAACGGGAAGAGCCCAAACCAACAAGCUUGCUUGUUGGGGUUGUAGGACACUCUAUACGGAGUUACAAAGGACGACAUUAGACGAAUCAUCUGGAAAGAUGAAUC
rnacentral:rRNA from 1 species